AUUGAACGCUGGCGGCAGGCCUAACACAUGCAAGUCGAGCGGAUGAAGGGAGCUUGCUCCUGGAUUCAGUGGCGGACGGGUGAGUAAUGCCUAGGAAUCUGCCUGGUAGUGGGGGAUAACGUCCGGAAACGGGCGCUAAUACCGCAUACGUCCUGAGGGUGAAAGUGGGGGAUCUUCGGACCUCACGCUAUCAGAUGAGCCUAGGUCGGAUUAGCUAGUUGGUGGGGUAAAGGCCUACCAAGGCGACGAUCCGUAACUGGUCUGAGAGGAUGAUCAGUCACACUGGAACUGAGACACGGUCCAGACUCCUACGGGAGGCAGCAGUGGGGAAUAUUGGACAAUGGGCGAAAGCCUGAUCCAGCCAUGCCGCGUGUGUGAAGAAGGUCUUCGGAUUGUAAAGCACUUUAAGUUGGGAGGAAGGGCAGUAAGUUAAUACCUUGCUGUUUUGACGUUACCAACAGAAUAAGCACCGGCUAACUUCGUG
rnacentral:rRNA from 1 species